rnacentral:rRNA from 1 species
UAAUACCUACGGGGGGCAGCAGUGGGGAAUAUUGGGCAAUGGAGGAAACUCUGACCCAGCAAUGCCGCGUGAAUGAAGAAGGUCUUCGGAUUGUAAAGUUCUUUAGUCAGGGAAGAAAAAAAUGACGGUACCUGAAGAAUAAGCUCCGGCUAACUACGUGCCAGCAGCCGCGGUGAUACGUAGGGAGCAAGCGUUGUUCGGAAUGACUGGGCGUAAAGGGUGCGUAGGCGGUUAUACAAGUUAGAAGUGAAAUAACCAGGGCUUAACUCGGGUGCUGCUUCUAAAACUGUAAGACUUGAGUACAG